rnacentral:rRNA from 1 species
GCCUACAUGAAGCUGGAAUUGCUAGUAAUGGCAGGUCAGCAUACUGCCGUGAAUACGUUCCCGGGCCUUGUACACACCGCCCGUCACACCAUGAGAGUUGGGGAUACCCGAAGCCUGUGAGCCAACUGUAAAGAGGCAGCAGUCGAAGGUAGAAUCAAUGAUUGGGGUGAAGUCGUAACAAGGUAUC